UGUGGCAAAGGGCAGGUCAGAAGGCAUGUCCAUUUCUGAUUGUUAGGGCUACCCUGUGGGCUCAGGUGACGACCAAAUGGACAAUUUGUGGAGUUAGAAUAUCAAUUGUCACUGCUUUUUUUUUAUUUUUUCUUUUUUUUCUUUUUUUUUUUUUUUUGCUAGAACUCAGCAAAGCAGGCUGCCAGGGCUGGGUGUCUGUCCAGGUGGAGAAACUGGCGGGUCCCAGCCAGCGGGACAGUGGUUCGUUAAACGCCCUAAGGCCGGUUGUAAAUCAUUAACGAGAGUUGGUGGUUUCCCGUGAUAGGAGCCCACAGGAAACGCCACCCCCAGAUUUCCGUUAGGGUUUUCUCGGAGGCCCCCUUGGCCAGGGGAGCGCCGAGACCGCCCUCCCCUCUGUGGUCCCAGCCCCUGAGCCGUUACUGGGGACGCUGAGACCUUCUGCCGUCACACCUGGGCCGGCCCCUGCUCGCCCAGGUCUCCUGGAUUCAGCAUGACCUGCAACCCGCCCCAGCGCACCCCAACACAGCUGCAAUUCCAGAUGGACGGACCUUACUAGGCAGAGGCUGCGAUGACGGGAGAUCCUAGACCAGGCAGAUAAGGAACAAUGGGCAAUUACUUCUCAACGUGUGGAGGCUGAAGUCCAAGAUCCAGGUGCCGGCAGGUGCGGCGUGCGGUGAGAAUGCUGGUCCUCAAACAAGACCGGCAGCUUCAUGAGUUCGGCCAGAGCGAGAGCGAGAUGGGCCCUGGCGCCUCCGCGCACGGCUGACGCCCACACGGAGAGACUGACAGGUCGCCGGCCGCGAGGGAGCAGGCAACUCAGAAAUGCGAAGGGGAGUUCGUUUUGCAAAUCCAGGCGCUGGUGUGGUCGAGGGAGCGCCCGCCACGCUGUGGGCUGCAGGGCCACGGGCCCGCCCCCUUCUGUCUGCUGCAAGAUUGGCAUUGGCACUGGCCAAUGGGAUGCCGCGGAGGUGCUGCCCACGCUCUGCAGCUGCUCACUCGUGGGAGUACCUGCAGCUCAAGCGGGAAAAGCCACCUCCCACCGCCCCGGGGCCUGACCCGGGACUCACCAGAAGGUCCUCCCCGUGCGCCCCCACCCCAAACAGCCGCGCCACGGAAUGGAGAGCACGAUCCAUGGUGACGCAGUUCUUGUCUUCGACUCGGUUCCCCUUACUUCGCCAAGAAAAACAAAACCGAUCUAGACACACACAGCAUUGAGCAUACAGAGAGAGCGAUCACGGAGCAAAACGGUUCGGAGCCACUGGAAGUAUCUCUACGUAUGACUAUGGGACCCAGACAGGAGAAAUCCAGCCGUGCUGGUGUCUUUCGGUGGUUUUCGUUCAAAGCAUGCCCUUAAAAAUUCAUUGGCUGCAACUAGAGCUUUGCUUGGUAUGUGAUUGUAAUCUGAAAAGACACCGGCGUUCGGGCUGCCUGUCACUGCCAAACCCAAUAAGCAAUGACAGCGAUUGGAUCUUUGAUGGGCGCUUUAUUCAGAUCCGAGGAGAUGGCGGGUUCACACCCUAACAGACCAUUUCCUGGCCAGACCUUUUAUGAGGGGGUGGGGGAGGGCACGCAAGGUGGGGUGAGGGCUUUGAGAUUCAGAAGCUGCAACAUUCCUGUCCUGCGCAGUUACCUGUUCCCAAAGCGUGGGGUGGUCACACAAAAGGCCCAGGUGCCUCCAACGUGUCCCCAGGCGGCAAUCUCCAGCCAGUGCCCCAGGAGGUCGGCUGCUUUUCCCAGGAGCCAGGACGGGCCUUAUCUGCAGUUUCUGAAACAAAAGCUUAACAUACACAUGCCUUGCUAGACUUACGGCUUUUUACCUCCAGCUAAAAUUUUCCAAGUCUUGAGUCCCCUAUCAUGAUGUAUCUUUUUUACAAUUUAAAACGUGGUUUUUUUUUUUUUCAAUUACAGUUUCUUUUCAAUAGGAUUGUGAGUGAGUUUCAAAGUGCAGGGCGUAGCAGCUACACAUUCAUAAAUGUUGCAAAGUGAUCUCCUGACGUUUGCAGCACCCAGGAGGCGCCACACCUAGCUGUUACAAUGUUACUGACGCCGCUCCCUGGGCGGCACUUUAGAUCCCCGGGAGCGUUCUGUAACUGCGGGGCUGUACUCCUGGGUCUACACUGUUAUCCUUUUAAGACGCCAAGUUGCGGGGAGGCUCCUGGUGCUGAGGAAGCCGACACACACAGUGGCCUCCAACUAUGAGUGGCUCUGGCAUGACACGUAUCUUUACCCAGGACUCACAGCACUCUGCACGGGCUCCCGGGCACCUCGGGGAGCUCCGGCGAAAGGCGUCCUGAAGCAGUUUGCAAUGCCUUCGGCUUCCAAGCCAGGGGCAGCCUGCAAGACGUCCGAUGAUGCAUUGUCGUGCGGCAAUCUCUCUGGCUUUUGCUUGCACUCCCAAGCAUCUGCCGGAGGUCCAGGUCCGGUGGGCCGGUCUGGGGUUGACAGGUUCUCCUGAGAUUCGAGGCGUCUUCCCCUAGUGGGGCCCUACUGGCCACUGGUGAGCAGAGAUCUCCUGGCUGCAUUCCCCGGGGGGUGGGGAGUCUUUGCACCCACGUUCUAAGAUUCUUGAGAAACAGCAGGCUUCACUUGGAUGCAGACACCGGCCCGCAGUGUCUGCAUCAUCAUGGAUGAAGUGAGACAUUCUCACACGGACCGCCAACUCCAGUGGAGGAAAAGGGACAGCGUGGCUUUUCUCUCCAGGGGAGCAGAAGCCUUGGCCCUUGUCGUGACCGGCCUUUAUGGGGUUUCUCCGCCCAUUACACUGAUGGUCCUCAUUUACUAGGCACAGGCUCACUUUAGGGGGUCACCUUUUACAGAAAACAAAGGAGCCAAUGCUGCUCAUCCCAUCACAGAAGAGGGAGAUUUGCAGAUGAACAGGCAAACGUGGUUGAACCAGUUACAGUCAGUCAUUCUUGGAAGGUUUAGCACGGAUUUUAGGAAGUUGCUUUGCAGUAAAUGUCCUCAAUUCAGGGUGAGGGAGUUUUUUAGCAAGAGCAAGACUCAAAGCGGCCUGGGCACAUGACAGGCCUGAUUCCCCACGGGAGAACCUCUCCGUGGGCGUGGGUCCUGUGCCUCUGUCUCCGAGUGGGAGCCGGGCCCACGCCCACGGAGAAUGUUCUACUACAGACUUGACUUUGGGUCUCUGGGGGCUGCUUGCUCUGGAAUGAGCGUCCCAACAGAAAGACGGACAUGCCAACAUUACUGGCCUCUGAUGGGUUCCCUCAAAACAGGGUGCAGGCCCUGGCUGGUGUAGCUCCGUGGAUUGAGCGCGGGCUGCGAACCAAAGCCUCGCAGGUUCGAUUCCCAGUCAGGGCACAUGCCUGGGUGGCAGCCCAUGACC